GUAUUAUGACAUUCCUACAAUGUUAAUGCACUAGAUCUUAUUAAAACUCCGCAAUUAAGCGCACUUGGGAUAGAGUAGUAUUAGGAUGAGUGACCUCCCGAGAAGUCCUAGUCUUUUACAUGCC
rnacentral:rRNA from 1 species